GGGGAGGGGGCUGGCGAGACCGGGAGAACUUGGCUGGCUGGCUGACUGAAUGGGGAUGCUUGGUGUGGUGGCUGUUCUUGCCAGGACAAUAGCUGGCUGACAAAAUCAGGCUCAGGCCUUUCUGACUUGAGAGAAGCCUGCGUGGAGCACAGCUUUAUGUCGGUCCAGUGCUGGCCUCAGAUGACUUGGGUGGAUCAGACUUGCUGCCUGCACUUAUGAAGCCCAUGAUCUGCCACCAACCCGUGGGCUUGGAAGCCAUGCACCUGCAGCUGGAUUCCGCUGGGACUUGUGAAAUGUAGGUCCCAAGGCCUACUCCCUGGAAAUAUAAAUCUGGCCAGUUAUUAUUGUAGCUGACAGGAUUCACAGCUGAGUGUGAUCGAGAAUUACUUUUCUACUCUGGUACUACGCAUCAUCAUGAAAGCUAGCC